GGCCUGAGCAACAAGCGUAUAAUGCAGUCGUGCGACUGUAGGUUGUGAUACUUGUACCGACUGGAUGAGCAGCGAACGGGUGAGUAACGCGUGGGGAAUCUGCCUUUGAGCGGGGGACAACAUUUGGAAACGAAUGCUAAUACCGCAUAAAAACUUUAAACACAAGUUUUAAGUUUGAAAGAUGCAAUUGCAUCACUCAAAGAUGAUCCCGCGUUGUAUUAGCUAGUUGGUGAGGUAAAGGCUCACCAAGGCGAUGAUACAUAGCCGACCUGAGAGGGUGAUCGGCCACAUUGGGACUGAGACACGGCCCAAACUCCUACGGGAGGCAGCAGUAGGGAAUCUUCGGCAAUGGACGAAAGUCUGACCGAGCAACGCCGCGUGAGUGAAGAAGGUUUUCGGAUCGUAAAACUCUGUUGGUAGAGAAGAACGUUGGUGAGAGUGGAAAGCUCAUCAAGUGACGGUAACUACCCAGAAAGGGACGGCUAACUACGUGCCAGCAGCCGCGGUAAUACGUAGGUCCCGAGCGUUGUCCGGAUUUAUUGGGCGUAAAGCGAGCGCAGGUGGUUUAUUAAGUCUGGUGUAAAAGGCAGUGGCUCAACCAUUGUAUGCAUUGGAAACUGGUAGACUUGAGUGCAGGAGAGGAGAGUGGAAUUCCAUGUGUAGCGGUGAAAUGCGUAGAUAUAUGGAGGAACACCGGUGGCGAAAGCGGCUCUCUGGCCUGUAACUGACACUGAGGCUCGAAAGCGUGGGGAGCAAACAGGAUUAGAUACCCUGGUAGUCCACGCCGUAAACGAUGAGUGCUAGAUGUAGGGAGCUAUAAGUUCUCUGUAUCGCAGCUAACGCAAUAAGCACUCCGCCUGGGGAGUACGACCGCAAGGUUGAAACUCAAAGGAAUUGACGGGGGCCCGCACAAGCGGUGGAGCAUGUGGUUUAAUUUCGAAGCAACGCGAAGAACCUUACCAGUCGUGACAUACUCGUGCUAUUCCUAGAGAUAGGAAGUUCCUUCGGGACACGGAUACAGGUGGUGCAUGGCUGUCGUCAGCUCGUGUCGUGAGAAUGUUGGGUUAGUCCCGCACGAGCGCACCCCUAUGGUAGUGCAUCAUAAGUGGUCACUCUAACGAGACUGGCGGUGAUGACUGAGAGUGAAUGACGUCAUCAUCAUGCCCGUUAUAGAAC
rnacentral:rRNA from 1 species